AGUGAACGCCGGCGGCAGGCCUAAUACAUGCAAGUCGAACGGCAGCACGGCAGAGCUUGCUCUGUGGGUGGCGAGUGGCGGACGGGUGAGGAAUACAUGGGAAUCUGCCCAGUCGUGGGGGGAUAACGUAGGGAAACUUACGCUAAUACCGCAUGCGCCCUUCGGGGAAAGCCGGGGACCUUCGGGCCUGGCGCGAUUGGAUGAGCCCAUGUCGGAUUAGCUAGUUGGCGGGGUAAUGGCCCACCAAGGCGACGAUCCGUAGCUGGUCUGAGAGGAUGAUCAGCCACACUGGAACUGAGACACGGUCCAGACUCCUACGGGAGGCAGCAGUAGGGAAUAUUGGACAAUGGGCGCAAGCCUGAU
rnacentral:rRNA from 1 species